rnacentral:rRNA from 1 species
UACGUAGGGAGCAAGCGUUGUUCGGAUUUACUGGGCGUAAAGGGCGCGUAGGCGGCGCGGUAAGUCACUUGUGAAAUCUCUGAGCUUAACUCAGAACGGCCAAGUGAUACUGCAGUGCUAGAGUGCAGAAGGGGCAAUCGGAAUUCUUGGUGUAGCGGUGAAAUGCGUAGAUAUCAAGAGGAACACCUGAGGUGAAGACGGGUUGCUAGGCUGACACUGACGCUGAGGAGCGAAAGCGUGGGGAGCAAACAGG